UGCUGCGACAACCUGUGAACCCGCCGGCGGCAGCAAGCUAAAUGCUCCCCCUUGCAAGGUCAAAGGAGAAGUACAACAGCAGCAAUGUCCUGGAGCAGCACGACGUUCUCGACGGGAAGGAGGGUAGCAGCAGGACGAGGGGCGCAACUAAGCCGUCUUGCUCUCUUCGGUCGACCCUCCAUGCCCGACGCCACAAGAUCUUCUGUCUGCAGAAAGUUGUAACUAAAUUUCUCACUAUGGAGUCCUUGCUUGACGAGAGCGUUGACAAGGAGAUAAAUUUGCAGAUCGAAUGAGGUGGAACUCCUUUAA